AAGACCUUGCGCUUUUGGGGCGGCCGAUGUCUGAUUAGCUUGUUGGUAAGGUAAAAGCUUACCAAGGCUUCGAUCAGUAGCUGGUCUGAGAGGACGACCAGCCACACUGGGACUGAGACACGGCCCAGACUCCUACGGGAGGCAGCAGUGGGGAAUUUUGGACAAUGGGGGCAACCCUGAUCCAGCCAUGCCGCGUGAGUGAAGAAGGCCUUCGGGUUGUAAAGCUCUUUCAGCCGGAACGAAACGGUUACGGUUAAUACCCGUGACUACUGACGGUACCGGAAGAAGAAGCACCGGCUAACUACGUGCCAGCAGCCGCGGUAAUACGUAGGGUGCAAGCGUUAAUCGGAAUUACUGGGCGUAAAGCGUGCGCAGGUGGUUUUGUAAGUCAGAUGUGAAAUCCCCGGGCUUAACCUGGGAACU
rnacentral:rRNA from 1 species